CCUACGGGAGGCAGCAGUGGGGAAUUUUGGACAAUGGGCGAAAGCCUGAUCCAGCAAUGCCGCGUGAGUGAAGAAGGCCUUCGGGUUGUAAAGCUCUUUUGUCAGGGAAGAAACGGUGAGAGCUAAUAUCUUUUGCUAAUGACGGUACCUGAAGAAUAAGCACCGGCUAACUACGUGCCAGCAGCCGCGGUAAUACGUAGGGUGCAAGCGUUAAUCGGAAUUACUGGGCGUAAAGCGUGCGCAGGCGGUUUUGUAAGUCUGAUGUGAAAUCCCCGGGCUCAACCUGGGAAUUGCAUUGGAGACUGCAAGGCUAGAAUCUGGCAGAGGGGGGUAGAAUUCCACGUGUAGCAGUGAAAUGCGUAGAUAUGUGGAGGAACACCGAUGGCGAAGGCAGCCCCCUGGGUCAAGAUUGACGCUCAUGCACGAAAGCGUGGGGAGCAAACAGGAUUAGAUACCCUGGUAGUCCACGCCCUAAACGAUGUCUACUAGUUGUCGGGUCUUAAUUGACUUGGUAACGCAGCUAACGCGUGAAGUAGACCGCCUGGGGAGUACGGUCGCAAGAUUAAAACUCAAAAUGAAUUGACGG
rnacentral:rRNA from 1 species